ensembl:lncRNA
UUCAGGGUGGGUGAAAACAGAGUUGGGUGCUGUGGAAUCGGUGAGGGUAACCAGAAGUGGUCUUGUGAUAAUUGUUUGUGUUUCUGCUGGUCAGAGGGAGAAGUUUUGCUCACAAGAAACGGGCACUAUUGAAAGGAGUGAUUACCGACGUCGCUGUAAAUGUAAAAGUUGACCAACUGAACGGGAAGAUUCCCAGCGUUUGUGAUGCUCAUCAUUUAGUGCGACACAGACAGGGUGGCGUGAGUGGUGAAACAGAAGAGUCAUUGUCUGUUCUUUUGAGUUUUGAUGUUGAUUCUUUGCCUGACAAAGGGAUGUUAGGAUAUAUAAGUUAUCCUGUACAAGCUUUUGUGCCGAAUACAUUACGUUGUUACAGGUGUCAAACUUAUGGGCAUGUGACAGCAGUGUGUAGGAGGGAGAUUCCUAGGUGUGAGAAUUGUUCAUAAGGGCAUGAGACAAAGGAAUGUGUAGCAUUGGGAAAGUAGUGGUAUGUGUUAAUUGUAGGGGUGCCCUUGGGGCUGGGGAUCAGAAAUGUCCCGUGCGAGAGGCAGGUUGUGGUUUCCAGGGUUAGAAUAGUGCAGAAGUUUUCAUAUGUGGAGGAAGUGAAGAAAGUAGAGGAAGAUUGGUCAAGGGGGAGGGAUCCUAAGAGGAGUGGUGUGAGUAGUAGAUUUGUACCAGUACAGAAGGAUAGGCCAACAAGUAAUAUAUGUUUCAGUAAGAUUGGAUUUUUUAGCAUUUAUAGCAAUGGUUAUCAACUGUACUGCAAGGUUGGAACGUAAGUUGCAGAAAAUUGAGGUUGUAGUGUCAGCUGCAGAGAGGUAUUUGGGUGUUCGAGACUUGACAUCAUACGAGUUCCUGGGUGUGUUAAGUGGUGCUGUCCCAUCCUUUCAGCUUGUUGACCUGAGGUAGGACUAAAUAGAUUUAAAUAGUGGAGUAGGGGGGGUGUCCUUUUUUUGUGCGUACAGUGUUAACUUAGAUGUUAUGGUUAUUUGUUUCUUCAAGCAAAGUAUAAGGGAGUUGUACUACAGUCUAGUAGUAGGUGGCGGUAAUGCAACAUUUAUUGGGUGCCAACCGCCGUUAAACUUAAUCCGAAGAAGAAGUUCACGUUUUGGCUACAGAAUAAUCAUCCUGUCUGAGAGAACGUUCGAGAGACACCCCAACUCUGACGGCGUCCCGAAUAUUUUCACAACAGGGGCAAGAAUCUGCUAGAUCGUUAAUCACCUCCGAAAUUCUGCCACCUUGCAUCAUUGAAUUACAAUCCCAGCAACACACCAGCUAUUGGCAGCAGCAGUACUAGGCAACACUUCACUGUGCCUCUUGGACGACCAUCGUUGUUUAUGUCUUUGUUUUACGAAAACGGUGAGUGCAUAACGACCAGCUAUAGAAUUAUGCAGCUGACGUCAAUAUAUACGCUUUGUUUUUGUAUGUAUAUUUCGAUGUAGCUACUUUUUUCUAGUGAAAUUCGUGGCGUAGUUAUGUCUCGGCUAAAUAAGAAUAUCAAAAUGGCGUCUCCCAUCACUCGUGCCAUCUGAUAAAUCAUGACGCACUCUGCAGCGCAAACUUACCUAGAUUCAUCAAUUCAUCCCGGUUGCUAAUCAACCCGAUCUCU